GGAGAUCACUACUCUUGGAGCCCUUCUGCAAGCCCAGGACAUGGAAAUGAGCAAAGUUAAGUCUGCAUGAAGCCUGCCGGAGUUCUGAACCUCAGUUGCAUAAGGAUAGAGCAGACUGAUCUGGAAUCCAGGCUGACAACAAAAAGACUAUGGAGUCUGGAAAGAAGAAAAUGAACCAUGCUGCUUGAAAAUGAUAUUGGUUAAGAGCAGCUGGAUAACAGCAGAUCAGCAGUUUCUCUCUGUCAUUUUUUCUGAUCAAGUCUGAUGAAGUAGGAAAAUGUUCAAAAUGAGGAUGAGGAAAAUGUAGAGACAAAAUGUAUACUGACCUUUAGUGGAUGCAGCUGGCAUUUCUGGGCAAACUAAGCCACAGUAGGUGGGAAGCCACAGAUAUUCAAUGUACUCUUCCUGAGCUGUGUGAGACACUUCUAUGGAUAAAGACUUUAGGGAUGAGGAAUUUCCUAAAUGGGUAUGAUUGGACUGAAUCAGUGCUACGUCUGAUCCAGACUCAGAGUGGAAUACAGGACUUUCAGUGGUUAUUAAUUCAAACUCAGCAGGCCUCUGAAUCAGACAAAGUGUUUAAUGUAUGUUUUACAGCACCACUUCUGUUAAGCUAUUAAUUGAACUAUUUGUAGAAUCUAUGCAGAAUAAAACUU
ensembl:lncRNA